CGUGUAGGCGGCCGGAUAUGUCAGAUGUGAAAGCCCCGGGCUUAACCCGGGAAGUGCAUUUGAAACUGUCCGGCUCGAGUAGGGGAGAGGGAAGUGGAAUUCCUGGUGUAGAGGUGAAAUUCGUAGAUAUCAGGAGGAACACCGGUGGCGAAGGCGACUUCCUGGCCCUAUACUGACGCUGAGACGCGAGGGCGUGGGUAGCAAACA
rnacentral:rRNA from 1 species